UGAAAGUGCCAGUACUGAUAAGUACUAGCCCUCGUGGGCUUGUCUAGUGCCAAAUACGAGGGCUCAACAAUCUUGAGUUUAGCAUUGAAAUCGAAAAUGUUGGAACCGCCAUUCAGGCUGAAAAACACUACCACAAAUCGAGACAAGCUUUAGGUUUGGGAAAAAUUACUUUUGACCAAUAUUUACGCCACGUUGAGAUUAAUGCUUAUUUGGCCCAACUGGCUAAAGACUACCCCGACACUGUCACUCUAGAAACAAUCGGACAGUCGUACGAAAAACAUUCCCCGACUACAAUCCGAUCUAUUCUUACAGCAUCUCCUCUUUCACGACAGCUUAUACCGUUUAUAGAUAUGUGUCUAUCGAGGAGAAUCAUCGGCACGACCAUCAAUCCUGAAUACCCCGAAAUAUUGUGGAUUUCAUUUCCUGAUCAAGCUGGUUUGGGUAACUGAACCGUUAAAACCCAUCAGACCGGCUUCCAAUUAUUAAAGUCCAAUAUCAAAAAGGAGUCUUUGCAUUUCUACUAAAACAAUAUAAACUCUGUAAUUCAUGUUUUAUUAUAACUAUAUAUAAAUAUGAAAUAUGAAAUGGAACAGAUUUAGUUGAUCGAAACUGAAAUUAACAUGCCGCGUUGAACUUAAAAAUAGCUACUUUAAAUUCAAACAAAAACUGAACCGGUUUCUCUGGUAUGUUAAGAGCCAAGAAUUGCUUUUGCGCAACAAAUGUUAAUGAAACGUUCACCCAUAGAAUUAACAGCUAUCUCAAUGCGACCUUCUAGCGAUGACUCUCUAGCGUCAAGUUGCAGAUCAUCCAGAACGUGAAUAACAUCCUUGCGUUGCAGGCACAUCACAGAUCCUUUCUUGUCAGAAUCCACAUGCAUUGCCAUAACAAAAGAAAGAGAAGGAGAUUUCUUACGCUCAUCAAAAUACUUCUUAUUUGUGAAAACAUUGUAGUACCGAUUUUGAAAGAUUUGUUUAAAUGCGUCUUGUACAGUA